AACGAACGCUGGCGGCAGGCUUAACACAUGCAAGUCGAACGCAUCCUUCGGGGUGAGUGGCAGACGGGUGAGUAACGCGUGGGAACGUGCCCUUCAGUUCGGGAUAACCCAGGGAAACUUGGGCUAAUACCGGAUACGUGCGAGAGCAGAAAGAUUUAUCGCUGAAGGAUCGGCCCGCGUCUGAUUAGCUAGUUGGUGGGGUAAUGGCCCACCAAGGCGACGAUCAGUAGCUGGUCUGAGAGGAUGAUCAGCCCCAUUGGGAGUGAGACACGACCCAAACUCCUACGGGAGGCAGCAGUGGGGAAUAUUGGACAAUGGGCGCAAGCCUGAUCCAGCCAUGCCGCGUGAGUGAUGAAGGCCUUAGGGUUGUAAAGCUCUUUCGUCCGGGACGAUAAUGACGGUACCGGAAGAAGAAGCCCCGGCUAACUUCGUGCCAGCCGCCGCGGUAA
rnacentral:rRNA from 1 species